GACGAACGCUGGCGGCGUGCUUAACACAUGCAAGUCGUACGGUAAGGCCCUUUCGGGGGUACACGAGUGGCGAACGGGUGAGUAACACGUGAGUAACCUGCCCUUGACUUUGGGAUAACUUCAGGAAACUGGGGCUAAUACCGGAUAGGAGCUCCUGCUGCAUGGUGGGGGUUGGAAAGUUUCGGCGGUUGGGGAUGGACUCGCGGCUUAUCAGCUUGUUGGUGGGGUAGUGGCUUACCAAGGCUUUGACGGGUAGCCGGCCUGAGAGGGUGACCGGCCACAUUGGGACUGAGAUACGGCCCAGACUCCUACGGGAGGCAGCAGUGGGGAAUAUUGCACAAUGGGCGGAAGCCUGAUGCAGCAACGCCGCGUGCGGGAUGACGGCCUUCGGGUUGUAAACCGCUUUCGCCUGUGACGAAGCGUGAGUGACGGUAAUGGGUAAAGAAGCACCGGCUAACUACGUG
rnacentral:rRNA from 1 species